rnacentral:tRNA from 1 species
GGAUGGGUUCUAUGGUAUAGAUAAAAUUUUGCAAAAGUUUUAUUGAGUUUGUCUCUCCAUCUU